rnacentral:tmRNA from 1 species
GGGCUUGUACUGGUUUCGACGGGGAUCAUGCAGCUGGUGAAGCUAUCCGCAUGCGAUGCGUUAAAUGGCAAAAUUAAAAUUAAACGCUGAAGAUAAUUUAGCAUACGCAGCCUAAGUGCUGCUGUCAGCCUUAGUGCACUCACACAUUAAGAAUCUGGCAUCGACUAUGUGAGAAACGACAUACAUUAAGCUUUGCGUGUAUGGGCGUAUCAUGAAGCUACUGAAGCCACAAGGGUGCCUGUUUUCGUGUGGCGGAGGGAAUGUCAAAUAACCGGCUAUGAUAGUAGAAGAACAGGGAAUUGAUUUUCGGACAGGGGUUCGAUUCCCCUCAGGUCCAUUU